AUACUUAUCUGGCAGGGGAGAUAUCAUGAUCACAAAGGUAGUUUCCCCAGGGCAAGGCUCACCCAUUGCACUUCAGGUGCUGACCACUGAGAUUCUCCAAACAUGGGAAAAUUUACUGAAUAAUUUGUGGUAGUGGGGGACUGCAUUCACACUCUCCCCUA